rnacentral:rRNA from 1 species
GACGAACGCUGGCGGCGUGCUUAACACAUGCAAGUCGAACGGAAAGGCCCUGCUUUUGUGGGGUGCUCGAGUGGCGAACGGGUGGGUAACACGUGAGUAACCUGCCCUUGACUUUGGGAUAACUUCAGGAAACUGGGGCUAAUACCGGAUAGGAGCUCCUGCUGCAUGGUGGGGGUUGGAAAGUUUCGGCGGUUGGGGAUGGACUCGCGGCUUAUCAGCUUGUUGGUGGGGUAGUGGCUUACCAAGGCUUUGACGGGUAGCCGGCCUGAGAGGGGGACCGGCCACACUGCGACUGAGAUACGGCCGAGACUACCACGGGAGGCAGAAGUGGGGAAUAUUGCCCAAUGGGCGGAAGCCUGAUGCAGCAACGCCGCGUGCGGGAUGACGGCCUUCGGGUUGUAAACCGCUUUCGCCUGUGACGAAGCGUGAGUGACGGUAAUGGGUAAAGAAGCACCGGCUAACUACGUG